GGAGGUGGAAGUUGUGAAUCUCCAACACUGAUUUCCAGUAUUUGGGUCUCCUCUGCUCCUGAUCACAUGGGAAAAUUACACUUUCCCGUGUUGUUUCACCAAAACAUCAUCCAUCACUGAAUCUCAGAGAGUGGAAGAAGAGAUCAAAUGAAGAGAGGGCAUGGCAUAGAUUUGAUCUUCCAACAGAGAACAGAAGAAAGGUUUCCUAGUAUGGCAGUACAUUCUGGCAUGGAACUGAGUACCAUGGAAAGAUUCAAGCUGAGCUUUGGAAAUGAAGAAAGAAUUGAGAAAACUUGGAAAGGUUUGGGAAGGACAUGGCCAAAACGAGCAACAGCUUGGGGGAGAAAAAAGACAACUUUUCCUGCUGGAGGAAAAAUGGAAGAAAUUAUUCACUAGAUGGCACGUUCCAACGAGGCCAGGGACUGCAUCUUCCAUCCUCCCUCAGUGGCCUCCUCCCCUCUCUUUCUGCUCCCCAGCUGGGAACACAGUGUAUUCUGCUCGGUCCGUUGCUCAUUUUAGUCUGAAAAGGAAAAA